CAUGCUGGUCUACGUUUGAUAAUAUAAUGCGCAGUCGAUCAAACCAAGUUCAUUUCGUCGUAGGCGUUCGCUGAAGGAGGUCGUCCAAAUAACAAGAUGGACUCUAUGAAACUCGUACGUGCUCUCAACCAAAUCACUGCUC